UCAGCGUGCCUGCUUGGCGAAUCUCAGCUGAGUCAGUUACAACAGGUCCCCUUUCAGACAGGUGAUGAUUAGAAGGUUUGUGACUCAAAGAGCAUGACGUGUUCCCUUUCCUCUGCAGCAGGAAGAUACUCCCUGAUAUCGUAGCAGUGACUCAGCCUGCCAAGACAAUCCAUUUCAUUCUUGUACCAUUCUUGCAUAAAUCACAGUGCAGAAAGCUUGGCAAGAUAAUUUUUAAAUUUUAAACUCGACCAGGAGAACUGUUGAGAAAUAAGACUUCAUAUUGAAGUACGUUUCCUCUCCUCGGAAGCUUUCAAGAGGCGAUGCUGGGUGAAGGGUUACUCCAAGUUCUGGAGGCUGAAAGUCCAAGAUCACGAUGCUGGCAGAAUCGGUGUCUGGUGGGAGCCUGUUUCCUGGCUCGUUGAUGGUGCCUUCUCCUUGGGUCCUCACCCGGUGAAAGAGUGACACGUUCCUGAGAACACUGCGGACAGAAGGCGCAAAUGUCUCAUACCUGAACUUAGCCCACGUGUCGCUUCUGUGUUUAUUAUGUUUUUGUUAGAAUUGGUCUGUGUUCAUUCUAAGUGUAAAAAGAACGCAAAUUAAAUAGGAUACAAGAUAUAUGACUAAAACCUUUUAAAACUAAUAUUUAUAUGA